GUGAUCUUUGGAGAAGAGUGCAAAAUGAGGUUUUGAGCUGUCCUUUGAAAGCCUACCGUAAAGAACAGGGUAGUCAGCAUGGCCCCAGGUGCUUGCUUGGAAGCAGUUGUACAGAAAUUCUCAAAUUCUCUUCUUCCUGAAGCACUGUGGUAUACUACAGAACUGCAACUUAAGUCUAUGCAGUGCCUGAUACAAGGGACUUCGUAUUUUUCAGUCUCAAACUGACUGCCUCCCACAGUUCCGAGUCAAGCUGUGAGGAGGUGGAAAAAAUGUAAAUUCUGCCUUAUGGUAGUGUAAAUUAUGGUAACUCAGUUGACAUGUGGCCACACAUAGCUGGAAAUUAUCAGGUACAGCAGAAUUGUUUAAGCAAGGUCAAAGAAAGUGCAUGGUGUUUAUAAUAACAUAAAGAUCAGUCUACUUAUGUAGUUUUUUGCGGCAUAUUAUGUUCUCCUAUCCAUGAAGGAAAAGUUAUUUGUUAUUCAUAAUUAAUUUUAGUGAGUCUUGUAAGUCUUAAGUUUUGGGUCAGUAUUGGACAGUGGGUCAGAACACUAUGAAAUGAGGACUUGGGCUUGUUGCUGCUUGUGACAGAAGUACAUUUCCUGGUCCCUCAGCUCAGGUACAGUCUGUUAUAGCCUUGCCUGGCCACAGUCAGUUAUAGCCUUAGCUGGGUGGGAAGAGUAUGGAUCUACUGGGGAAGCUGAAUAUAAGGAGCAACGAGAAUAAUAUAUUUGGUAAGGUGGACUCCACUUUAUAAGCAUGUGUCUUGGCCAAAGGCAUGGGACUGACUCCAUCUUACAAAGAACUGAUGCUGAGAGAGGCUGAUAGACAAAAAAGCUCCCCUGUAUCAUCUAUUGGUGGUGGGAAGGAAAUCAAAGAGCCAGGUGGACUUGCUAGUUGGUUGGAUCUCUGUAUUUUACCUUUGUAAAACGAUGAUCCCUGAUUUCAAAGGCAUGUAAUUGGGGUGAAAAAUUUAGUUUCUUUCAGCUGCAUCUUUCAACUUCUUGAGAAGAAUGUAGUACUGCGUGAGAUAGGUAUAAAGGUGCUUCCUUUUUUUUUUUUGAAGAGUUUGUUUCAAAAUUAUGCAAUACUUAGUUUGAGAAUGCUUUUUGUCCUUUGCAAAUAAUCAAAGGUUCGUGUUUUUGAUGACAGACACAUUUACAUAGCUAUAAGAUUCUUAACAGGAAGAGGGGGAUAAGAAUGAGAAAUGGGCACCUAAAUCCUUACAGUAGCUGUGAGGUUUUUUUCUGUCAUGUUUCAUGCCCAGUAUAUGUGAGCAUCUCCCUCCCCUCUCAAAAUUCGGUUCAUUCCCGAUCCUGUGAAUAGUUUAUUAGAUUUUGGUCUUGAUCCUAAUUCUCUGAAGCUGCAGAGUCCAUCAGCUCAAAAGGUACAUUUACAAAUUGCUUCUUCUCUAAUCAUUAGAAAGUACCUACCAUCUCGCGGUCAGAGGUGGUACUGCAGAUCUCUCAUUUCUCUGGAAAAUGGAGCAAUACGGUGGGAAUGAGCACAUUUGUAGCUGUGGAGACUCAGCGGGGAGAUCCAAAGACAGCAGUUCUUCUCCCGAAGCCCUCUGUGAUCCUGUAUGAGGCAUCUUUCCCCAAGCAGUUGGCUUUGCUGCUCUUUCAUUUUGGUUAUCUGUGGUUCUGCUCAGAAGAAAUGUCCUUGUCAUACCUUCCUGUGAUUGAAUCCUUUGAUGCAGGUGAACGGAUGUAUGCUUGAAGUAGCUAUCCUACAGCUAUUACAUAUGGUGAGCAAUGUAUUUUCUGCUUCUCUCCUGACAUGCUGGUUAAAUGUGGAAUAGGGGAAAUUUUGCUGUUAUUGCUUGCUGUGGCACAUGCACGUUGUGUGGGGCACGCGGCAGUGCUCAGAGAGAACGGGAAAGGAGGGAUAUGAUGAUGGUGAAG
ensembl:lncRNA